GACGAACGCUGGCGGCGUGCCUAAUACAUGCAAGUCGAACGCAGUGGGGACGGGUGAGUAACACGUGGGUAACCUCCCAUCAGAGGGGAUAACACUUGGAAACAGGUGCUAAACCGAUACUGAUGGAUGGACCCGCGGUGCAUUAGCUAGUUGGUGAGGUAACGGCUCACCAAGGCCACGAUGCAUAGCCGACCGGAGAGGGUGACCGGCCAAACGGGGACUGGGACACGGCCCAGACCCCUACGGGGGGAAGAAGGAGGGAAUCUCCGGCAAUGGACGAAAGCCUGACCGAGCAACGCCGCGGGAGUGAAGAAGGUUUUCGGAUCGUAAAACUCUGUUGUUAGAGAAGCGGUAUCUAACCAGAAAGCCACGGCUAACUACGUGCCAGCCGCCGCGGUAAUAC
rnacentral:rRNA from 1 species